rnacentral:rRNA from 1 species
GACGAACGCUGGCGGCGUGCUUAACACACGCAAGUCGAACGGAAAGGCCCUGCUUUUGUGGGGUGCUCGAGUGGCGAACGGGUGAGUAACACGUGAGUAACCUGCCCUUGACUUUGGGAUAACUUCAGGAAACUGGGGCUAAUACCGGAUAGGAGCUCCUGCUGCAUGGUGGGGGUUGGAAAGUUUCGGCGGUUGGGGAUGGACUCGCGGCUUAUCAGCUUGUUGGUGGGGUAGUGGCUUACCAAGGCUUUGACGGGUAGCCGGCCUGAGUGGGUGACCGGCCACAUUGGGACUGAGAUACGGCCCAGACUCCUACGGGAGGCAGCAGUGGGGAAUAUUGCACAAUGGGCGGAAGCCUGAUGCAGCAACGCCGCGUGCGGGAUGACGGCCUUCGGGUUGUAAACCGCUUUCGCCUGUGACGAAGCGUGAGUGACGGUAAUGGGUAAAGAAGCACCGGCUAACUACGUG